CACGUAGGCGGCCGAGCAAGUCUGUUGUGAAAUCCCCCGGCUUAACCGGGGAACUGCAGUAGAUACUACUCGGCUUGAGUGCAGGAGGGGAGAGUGGAAUUCCAGGUGGAGCGGUGAAAUGCGUAGAUAUCUGGAGGAACGCCGGCGGCGAAAGCGACUCUCUGGUCUGCAACUGACGCUGAGGUGCGAAAGCUAGGGGAGCAAACG
rnacentral:rRNA from 1 species